rnacentral:lncRNA from 1 species
UCACCGUCUCUCAAAGCGCCUGCGCAUCCACACCCGAACUCCUCCCACCGGUCCCUUGGCGCUUGCGUGAGCCCGCCCCCACGGCUCCGCGAUCGACACCAUGGAAACGCAGCCAAGUUUAGGGUCGCUGGUUCUCAACGCUGCCCAGAGAGGUCUUUAAUCCAUGACUCCAAAGCAAGUCCCUGAGCAGGGGCGCAAGUAUGGCAAACUGCAGGCCUGGGUCCAGCCCGCAGACCAGUGGAGAAGCAUCUAGCACUUCACAGAGGGCUGGGAAGAUCCCUGGAGGGCGGGAAGUGCUGGUCCGGCAAAACCACUUCUUGCAGGCUAACACGGUAGGGCAAAGCAUGGCUCACCACUAAAGGACAAAGGUAGAUCUGAGCAGCAGGGGGAACAGUCAACAUUUCAUUCCCACUCCUGACCAGAGCAUCCCCUAUUUCCGACUCUUUCCCAACCCAACCCGGCGUAGCUGUUCAUGUGCCUCAGGUUUCAGCCCACUUGCCCUCUGUUAACAGCUCCCAAUGAGAACCACAGGCUACCAGAGGAAGCAGCUUUUAUUGAUGGGUUAUCUCCAGAAACCAGAAAGACUAUAUGUACUCACUUUCAGUUACCCCCGUGCCUCCAGAAUCGCAUGUUGCUCCACCUGGGGGCGGAUAUAAAUUACCUCUAGAUUGUCCAA